rnacentral:rRNA from 1 species
GACGAACGCUGGCGGCGUGCUUAACACAUGCAAGUCGAACGGAAAGGCCCUGCUUGCAGGGUACUCGAGUGGCGAACGGGUGAGUAACACGUGGGUGAUCUGCCCUGCACUUCGGGAUAAGCCUGGGAAACGGGGUCCAAUACCGGAUAGGAGCUACUUUUAGUGUGAGGGAUGGAAAGUUUUUUCGGUGUAGGAUGAGCUCGCGGCCUAUCAGCGUGUUGGUGGGGUGAUGGCGUACCAGGGCGGCGACGGGAAGCCCGCCUGUGGGGCUGGGCGGCCACCCUGGGACUGAGGGACGGCCCAGGCUCCGACGAGAGGCCGAUGUGGGGAAUCUUGCUCCAGGGGCGCCGGGCUGGUGCAGCGGCGCCGCGUGGGGGAUGGCGGCCUUGUGGUUGUAAACUCGUUUCGCUAGGGACGAAGCCUUUUGUGACGGUACCUAGAUAAGAAGCACCGGCUAACUACGUG